AAGUCGUAACAAGGUUUCCGUAGGUGAACCUGCGGAAGGAUCAUUAACACGUUUCGUUCCGAACGUUUUGACCCAUCCUAUUUUCCGUGCACCCAAACGCGUCCGGCCUCCCAGCCGCUCACUGGGUUUACUCAGUGUUGCCUGUUGGGCGUCUUCGGGAUCAAGGAAUGAGUUUGUGCUAUAGACUUGACCGUUUUCGCACUUGCUCGUUUCUCCUGAACGGCGUUGCCACCUCACCCAAACCCUUGAACCUAACUGAUCUGAACUUUUAGUUGACUUCACUGUCAACGACUAUGAACAAACAACAACUCUUAACAACGGAUAUCUUGGUUCUC
rnacentral:misc_RNA from 1 species